UUGUUGACUAGCUUUGCAUGGCAGGCUCCCUGCACUUUGGUGCGGCCAACUGUCAUGGGGCGGUCUCUUCGUUGUCCCUUUGCCUAGUAAUGUAGUGGUUAUGGAUGAUUGCUGUCGGUUGCCUGUGUGGUUCUACCCUUGUGGGUAGCACAAUUGUCCCGUCGUUGCUUAUUUAGCUUGCUCUGUUAAUGAUAUUCAGUUGACAGGGCGGCCGAGGGGUCAGCAAAUUCCAUGUGUUGCCAUGUGCAUUAGCCUUGGUACCGCACUUGGAUGUUUGCUGGGUCUCAUGGAUGUGGUGCCUAUUGUGAGCUCUACAGGCCUUGUGCCUGAAGAACCUGUGAGGUUGCCCCUGCAUGGAUCAUUGCUAUGUGGCUUCACCAACAUUUCGUGGUCUAAGCGUCAUGUUGGUUUGUUGCUAUCAGGGUGUUGUUCUUUGCCUGCGGCAUGCCUCUUAGACCCAAUGACUUGCGAUUGCUGGUUUGCGUUGUUACAAGG
rnacentral:misc_RNA from 1 species